UACGUAGGGUGCGAGCGUUAAUCGGAAUUACUGGGCGUAAAGUGCGCGCAGGCGGCAGAGCAAGUCGAGUGUGAAAGCCCCGGGCUUAACUUGGGAAUUGCGCUCGAAACUACUUUGCUGGAGUGUGGCAGAGGAAGGUGGAAUUCCACGUGUAGCGGUGAAAUGCGUAGAGAUGUGGAGGAACACCAGUGGCGAAGGCGCCGCUCUGGGCCGUGACUGACGCUGAGGAGCGAAAGCGUGGGUAGCAAACAGG
rnacentral:rRNA from 1 species